rnacentral:rRNA from 1 species
GGUGUGAUGACGAGGCACUACGGUGCUGAAGUAACAAAUGCCCUGCUUCCAGGAAAAGCCUCUAAGCAUCAGGUAACAUCAAAUCGUACCCCAAACCGACACAGGUGGUCAGGUAGAGAAUACCAAGGCGCUUGAGAGAACUCGGGUGAAGGAACUAGGCAAAAUGGUGCCGUAACUUCGGGAGAAGGCACGCUGGUGUGUAGGUGAAGUCCCUGCGGAUGGAGCUGAGACCAGUCGAAGAUACCAGCUGGCUGCAACUGUUUAUUAAAAACACAGCACUGUGCAAACACGAAAGUGGACGUAUACGGUGUGACGCCUGCCCGGUGCCGGAAGGUUAAUUGAUGGGGUUAUCCGUAAGGAGAAGCUCUUGAUCGAAGCCCCGGUAAACGGCGGCCGUAACUAUAACGGUCCUAAGGUAGCGAAAUUCCUUGUCGGGUAAGUUCCGACCUGCACGAAUGGCGUAAUGAUGGCCAGGCUGUCUCCACCCGAGACUCAGUGAAAUUGAACUCGCUGUGAAGAUGCAGUGUACCCGCGGCAAGACGGAAAGACCCCGUGAACCUUUACUAUAGCUUGACACUGAACAUUGAGCCUUGAUGUGUAGGAUAGGUGGGAGGCUUUGAAGCGUGGACGCCAGUCUGCGUGGAGCCAACCUUGAAAUACCACCCUUUAAUGUUUGAUGUUCUAACGUUGGCCCCUGACCGGGGUUGCGGACAGUGUCUGGUGGGUAGUUUGACUGGGGCGGUCUCCUCCCAAAGCGUAACGGAGGAGCACGAAGGUUAGCUAAUCCUGGUCGGACAUCAGGAGGUUAGUGCAAUGGCAUAAGCUAGCUUGACUGCGAGCGUGACGGCGCGAGCAGGUGCGAAAGCAGGUCAUAGUGAUCCGGUGGUUCUGAAUGGAAGGGCCAUCGCUCAACGGAUAAAAGGUACUCCGGGGAUAACAGGCUGAUACCGCCCAAGAGUUCAUAUCGACGGCGGUGUUUGGCACCUCGAUGUCGGCUCAUCACAUCCUGGGGCUGAAGUAGGUCCCAAGGGUAUGGCUGUUCGCCAUUUAAAGUGGUACGCGAGCUGGGUUUAGAACGUCGUGAGACAGUUCGGUCCCUAUCUGCCGUGGGCGCUGGAGAAUUGAGGGGGGCUGCUCCUAGUACGAGAGGACCGGAGUGGACGCAUCACUGGUGUUCGGGUUGUCAUGCCAAUGGCACUGCCCGGUAGCUAAAUGCGGAAGAGAUAAGUGCUGAAAGCAUCUAAGCACGAAACUUGCCCCGAGAUGAGUUCUCCCUGAGACUUUAAGUCUCCUGAAGGAACGUUAAAGACGAUGACGUUGAUAGGCCGGGUGUGUAAGCGCAGCGAUGCGUUGAGCUAACCGGUACUAAUGAACCGUGAGGCUUAACCUU